rnacentral:rRNA from 1 species
UACGGGGGGAGCAAGCGUUGUUCGGAUUUACUGGGCGUAAAGGGCGCGUAGGCGGCGUAACAAGUCACUUGUGAAAUCUCCGGGCUUAACUCGGAGCGGUCAUGCGAUACUGGCGGGCUCGAGGCAGGUAGGGGGAAGCGGAAUUCCCGGUGUAGUGGUGGAAUGCGUAGAUAUCGGGAGGAACACCAGUGGCGAAGGCGGCUUCCUGGACCGUGUUCUGACGCUGAGGAGCGAAAGCGUGGGGAG